rnacentral:rRNA from 1 species
GGACGAACGCUGGCGGCGUGCUUAACACAUGCAAGUCGAGCGGUAAGGCCCUUCGGGGUACACGAGCGGCGAACGGGUGAGUAACACGUGAGUAAUCUGCCCUUCACUUCGGGAUAAGCCUCGGAAACGGGGUCUAAUACCGGAUAUGACCACUUCACGCAUGUGAUGGUGGUGGAAAGUUUUUUCGGUGGGGGAUGUGCUCGCGGCCUAUCAGCUUGUUGGUGGGGUAAUGGCCUACCAAGGCUUCGACGGGUAGCCGGCCUGAGAGGGUGACCGGCCACACUGGGACUGAGACACGGCCCAGACUCCUACGGGAGGCAGCAGUGGGGAAUAUUGGACAAUGGGCGGAAGCCUGAUCCAGCAACGCCGCGUGAGGGAUGACGGCCUUCGGGUUGUAAACCUCUUUCAGUGGGGACGAAGCGCAAGUGACGGUACCUACAGAAGAAGCACCGGCCAACUACGUGCCAGCAGCCGCGGUAAUACGUAGGGUGCGAGCGUUGUCCGGAAUUAUUGGGCGUAAAGGGCUCGUAGGCGGUUUGUCGCGUCGGGAGUGAAAACACCGGGCUUAACUCGGUGCUUGCUUUCGAUACGGGCAGACUAGAGGUAUUCAGGGGAGAACGGAAUUCCUGGUGUAGCGGUGAAAUGCGCAGAUAUCAGGAGGAACACCGGUGGCGAAGGCGGUUCUCUGGGAAUGACCUGACGCUGAGGAGCGAAAGUGUGGGGAGCGAACAGGAUUAGAUACCCUGGUAGUCCACACCGUAAACGUUGGGCGCUAGGUGUGGGGUCCAUUCCACGGAUUCCGUGCCGCAGCUAACGCAUUAAGCGCCCCG